GCUGGGAACUCUGGGGAGACUGCCGGUGAUAAACCGGAGGAAGGCGGGAUGACGUCAAGUCCUCAUGGCCCUUACAUCCCGGGCUACACACGUGCUACAAUGGCAGGUACAGAGGGCUGCGAAGCCGCGAGGUGGAGCGAAUCCCAGAAAACCUGUCUCAGUCCCGGAUUGAAGUCUGCAACUCGACUUCAUGAAGGCGGAAUCGCUAGUAACCGCGAAUCAGCAGGUCGCGGUGAAUACGUUCCCGGGCCUU
rnacentral:rRNA from 1 species